UCCCUGGAGGACUAGGGGUUAGGCCUCGGUGCUCUCACUGCCAAGGCCCGGGUUUGAUUCCAAGCCAGGGAA
rnacentral:tRNA from 1 species